rnacentral:ncRNA from 1 species
AAAUGCCGUAUGAAUUGAGAGGUUUACGUACGGUUCUGUAAGCCGUUUAGAGGUAAAACUCCCCUUUACCUACUCGAC